CCUUCCUUAGGUGGGCCUCCAGGAGGGCCAGGAUACGGAGCACAAAAGCCGGGGCCCCUGGGGCCGCGGCCCCGCCCCCUGCGCCCUCCUCCCCCCCCCCUCCGGCUUCCACGCGGGGAGACGCGGGACGGCGCCUGCGCAUGCGCCGGGCGAGGUCCGCUCUCCGCGACGUCAGGGGGCUCGCGCCCGCGUGAGGCCCCGCCCCCCGGGCGGCAGCGGCGACCUGGGCGGGGGGCCCCGGGCCCCGCCCCCAGCCGAGCCGAGCGGGGCCGAGCCGAGCGGGGCCGAGCCGCGCCGAGCGGCCCCGAGCGCGGCCGAGCCGAGCCGAGCCGAGCGGCCCGGAGUCGGUUGGUGCAGCUGCGUCCCCGCCGCCCAGCAGUCCGCGGCUCCGGCGCCGCCGCCGCCGCCGCCGCCGCCUCCUCCGCGGGGCCCGCGCCGCCCGCCCGCCGGGAGGGAGGGAGGGAGGCCCGGCCGCGGGCGCCGCCGCCGCCGCCGCCGCUGCCAGGUGAGCGCCCGCCGCGGCCCGCCGGCCCCGCGCGCCCCCGCCGUGUCAGUCCCCGUGUGCGUGCGUGUGUGUCCCCCCGCCCGCCAGCCCCCGCGUGCGCCAGCCCCCGCCCGCCCCUCCCGCGCGCUGCCCCGUCUCUCUGUCAGCCGCCAGCGCCCCCUUGCGCGCAGGCCCCGCCCCUUCCCCCCGAAGCCCCGCCCCCGCCCAUCUGUCAGCGCCCCCCCCCCCCCCGCCGCUGCCCCGGGGCUCGCCGUGGACCCUGCGGGCCGGGAGGGCGGGGAUGCCCGCGGCGCCCCUCCUCGGCCCCGCUCCCCGGGCAGCGUCCGUCCGCGAGGAGGCAGCGGAGCCGGGACUGCAGCCUCGCUCGGGGCGCCCCGGGCCCCCCGGAGGCCGGCCGCGCCGAGGGAGCGGAGCUUGGGGUUUCCAUCCCGAGGAGCCCGUCGGAAGUGCUCGUGCAGCGGGUGGGAUGGGGAGCCUCGGUGGGAAGCGUUAGGCAGCCCGAGUCCCUCCGAGUCGCGCGGCUUGCAUUUCUGAGCAGUGAUUGCGCUGGGCUGGUGCCCCGGGAGAGGCUGCUGCGGGGAGGGGCGGGGAGGGGAGGUGGACGGGGACGAGGACGGGGACGGGGAGCACGGACGGCAGCCUCCUUUCUGUUUUUAUCUGUGUCAUGUGGGCACGAGUAUUUAUUCACGAGACCCUAUGCAUCUUGGGCUUGCAGAGAGGCGUCGGUCGCGCCGCGUGUGAAUGCUCCUGUAGGUUGUUGUCUCGACGUUCUUUAUUUGUAG
rnacentral:lncRNA from 1 species